GUAUUUGAUAUACAAGGAUGAAGAACUGAGUUCAGAUCUACAGCGUCCACAAAAAAAAAAAAGCUAGAGUGCUCAUACCCCAAGAGAAAGCAGAGACGGACAGACCUUCUUUGACUCACGAGCCAACCAGUCCAGUCAAAACAGCAAGCUCCAGACCAACCAAUAAGAGGCUGUCUCAAAAAUAAAGUGGAACACAAUCAAAGAAGACAUCCAACAUCAGCCUCCGGCCUACAAACACAAACACACACACACACACACACACACACACACACACACACACUAGUUCCUUCAUCAUCUGUGUGAACAAGGACCCACAUCAUCCACAUUAAAAAAGUGUCUAAAAGCCAGGCAGUAGUGGCACACACCUUUAAUCCCAGCACUUGGGAGGCAGAGGCAGGUGGAUUUCUGAGUUCGAGGCCAGCCUGGUCUACAGAGUGAGUUCCAGGACAGCCAGGGCUAUACAGAGAAACCCUGUCUUGAAAAAGCGAAAAAAUAAAAUAAAAUAAAAUAAAAUAAAAUAAAAUAAAAUAAAAUGUCUAAAAGUCUUAACAAAUAUUUUUGCGUUUCAUGAACGAAAGUUUAUAAGAACAAAAUGCUUUUAUUUCUUAGUCAUUUUUACAUAUUGAUUCUUCACUCCAAAAAGUAUUUGUCUUCAUUCCUACCUUUCCCCUCUGAUCUUUUUGAGUCCUUUAUAAGGAACAUUGAGCAAAAUAUGAAUAAACACAAACAAAUUUACCAGUUCCAUAAACCACUAAUGAACCCACAGCACCUUGCUUCAUGGCCUUAGCAGCUAAGCAAAUAAAUCGAAAUCGCUCCCUUUAUAGCACAUUAUGCUUAAACUACAGUGUAGCUUUUAAUUUUUUUCAAACCUUAUUUUUAGUGAAGGUUCUUAAACACUUUAACCUCUUCUGUCAUCCACCACCCUCCAAAGGUAGUGGAAAACAAAGGAUACAGGGAAUGGGGAAAGAGUGGGCCUGUUUAGAAAAGUUUUUUGGAGCAACUCCCAUCUAUGUUGUCUGGAAAUCAGCAGUUCAGUUCACAGGUUAGCAGGUAAUGGCUUCUCCGUUCACUUGCAAACACUUCAUGGAUACACCAGCAGUCCAGUUCAGUACAGUCAGGUUAGCAACAGCCAUGGCAUGACCUAGCAGAGACAGCCAAGCCUCAGCCUCAGCUCACGUGAACAGGAGAAACCCAGAGGGACACCAGGAGAAGUUCUCAGCUGUGCCUCUCUCAGAGAAGCAAAGAUCAGCCCUACAAGUGUUGCACAGCUAGCUGUACCAGCAAACCAAGCUCUGUCUCCAUCACUCCAUGGAGUCCUAUUUAAAACCUCCAAACAUCACAUGUCCUCCACAUGUCUUGCCUCAGUAUGUGUAUCCGAUAAGCCCGAGUCCGUGGUGUCCCAACAAAUGGAGCUCAACUACGCAAUGGAAGGCAGACCAAUACAUUCAUGUUGUUAGCAAAGAAUCCUUCAUCAUGUAUCCUUUCAUGUGCUUGCCUUAGCAGAGCAUCCUCUCUCCUGUAUCUGCUUCAGUGAAACAUUCCUUCAAAAGUCUGCCUUAGUCUUUCACCUGUGUCUACUUCAGGAAAACACUCCUUCGCAUGUUUGCCCCAGCAAAACACCAUCCAACACAACUGACUCUCCAACGAACCCUUAAGUUUCUACCUCACCAUGGUUUUCCUUGAAGACAUGGGAAGUGGGGAGAGCAGUGAUGUUUUUGCAAAAGCCAUGUCUUAUAAUUAUGUUGAUUAGCCAUAUUGGGGAACAGAUGCAUCCACAAUCAAGAAGAUGGAUUGGGAAUCAAAUAUGCCUCAAUACCAUACUCAGCCCUAUAACUCGGGAUGGUUAGAUUCUAGUCUAGCCUAGUCUCCUCUCUCAGCUUCUAGCUAGUCUCUCCAUCUGUAAAAUGCACAUGACACUUUUUUUCUUGAGCUUCUGAGGAUGAGUCAAGCCAGCCCAUCCACCCAUGUGGGAGCACAGCAGUGGCUUCCACUACUGUUGUUCUGUCCAGGUGCUAGAUGUAAUCAAUCCAACAUCUUUGUCCUUCGGAAAUAGCUCCUCUUGUAAACUGUUUUCCAUGACUAUGGUUGGUUUGCCACAUCCAGGAAGGAGCAAAUGACACACAACACCCAUAGGCAGGAUGGCCGUGUGUUGACUCCUCGUAAGACCUCUCAUGGGGUUGAAAGUGAGGAAGCUUCAGAAAGGGGACAGUGGUGACAGUUGGGUGGUUAAGAUGCUGACAUGCAUGAGGCAGGAAAUGAUGCAAGAUGACUUCCUCCAGGCAUUCUAAAUCUGCCCUUUAUUCCUCUUAGGAAAGUUUAUGGGAGUCACCACUUUGCCAGCUACAUCUCAAUGGAAGAUUUUCAGGCCUUAGGCAUCCAGGUGUACUCCCUUCCGUUCAGACACUUGUAAAGGUUAUUUUCCACAAGUGCUGGCUUUUGUCUUAUUUUGUUUUGUUGGUCCAAAAUAAUCUCAGGAUUUAGAUGCCAAAAAAAGAGAAAGGUUUACUGAGAUACCUGGGAAGCAGGCGACAACGCAACACACCCAGCCUUGCUUUCUGAAGCAGCUUUCCUACCCACGUAAGAGGUGUUCCAGAACAUAAACCCGAUCCACAGCUGGGCCCUCGAAGAAGCACAAUCUGUUUCCAAGCUCAGUGUGGAGAUGGCCGGACAGACGAGUGGAAUGCUUGCUACACCAGCAUGAAAACAUGAUUGCAAGUUCCAAGUUUUGAUUUGUAUUCUCUGGUGACUAAUGAGGUUGAACAUUUUUUUUUCAUGGUUUUGGCCAUUUGUAUUCCAUCAUUUGAGAGAUAUCUGCUCAUUUCAUCCAUCUGUUGACUGGGUUGUUUGAGUUUUGGAUGUUUAAGUUUUUGAGUUUUUUGUAUAGUUUAGUAUUUAGCUAUCAAAGACUUCCUCUCAUUCUUUAGAUUGUCUUUUUAACGAACUGUUUCUUUUGAUGGACAGAGCUUUCCAUUUUCAAGAGGUCCCAUUUCAAGAGUUCACUCUUUCCUGAGCAACUGGAGUCCUUCCAAGAAAGAGCCUAUGAUGACUAGGGGGUGGGGGGCACAGGUGUACCUGCAUGUGUAGAAGCCAGAGGUUGACAUCAGGUGUCUUCUUCAACUGUUCUCCAUCUUAUUUUUUGAGGCAAGACCUCUCCCUAAACCUGAGCUGGACUGGCUGGCCAGCAAGGUAAAGAGGUCCAUUUGUCUCCACUUUUAUGUUUAGGGUUACAAACAUGAGUCACCUCAUCUUGUUUCCUUCACGGAUACUGGCAAUCCAGACUCAGAUCUUCACACUUACAUGGUAGACACAUUACCACCUGAGCCAUCUCCCUAGCCUCUGAGCCAUUAUCUUGAUGUGCUUUUCUCAACUUUUUCCUCUAUCAGCUUGAGUUGCACAUGAGGUAUUUUAAAUAGACAACGUAAACUCUUCACUGUCAAGGGUCUGUCCCACUUCAGAAAUAUUUCAGUUAUUAUUUCUAAAAACUAAACUUGCAUAUACAGAAAGAAAGGCUGAGUGUCCCUCCCCGCAGGUCUUCGUGUGCAUAAUUAUCAGAUAACUAUUUUCUUUGUUGGCAAUUUCUGUGUGAGCACUGUAACAGCAUGCCCGGUUGUUUAUUAACAUGUCCACUGAUGACCUGUUAGCUUCUUUUUAAAUUCGUUCUAUUUUGUUUGCUUUUGAGAUAUCUAAAACCCAGGAAAUGUGGAAACAUUGGGAUCCCAAAAUACUACUACGCUCUCUGCCAAAUGCCUUCCAAAUACCUAAAUCUCCUGGGCUUCUGUUUUCAUAUCCUCUCAUGUUUUGCUGUUUAUUAACACACCAAACUGAGUUAUGAGGGUUCUUCUUUUGCGAUUCUGAAUUAUAAAGAGUAUAAUCCAAACUACUGAGAAUGAGACACAUGCCAAAGAAAACUUGCCUAGACUCCAAAAGCAUCAAUAUUAGAAAGGGGGGAAAAUUGUGGAAACCACACUUAGUCAAAUGCUGUGUGUUUCAAGCUAGAUACGGCUUUAAAAAAAAAAAAAAAGAGCAUAGUCUAGGCUUAUGACUCAGGCCUAGAAUUUAACAAAUCCUGGGUUUAAUCUCCAGCAUAAACUGGACCUGGUACACCCUGAAAACCCAGCAUUCACAAACAGAAGGAUCAGAAGCUCAGAGGAUCCUUGGCUACAUACUGAUCGAGUCCAGCCUUGGGUGAAAAAGCUCUGUCUGAAAAAACAUAUAAAAC
rnacentral:lncRNA from 1 species